AAAAUCGAAUUUAGUUAUAUCUCCCAAAAACCCAUUAUCAUAUUAGUUCUAGUGUUUUCCCCUUGAGUUCAAACAACGCCUCCCACUUCUCUGCUUCUCGUCCACUCGGUGGGCUACGUUUUUUCCACAGACGGCAUUAGAACAUACAGUCAGACUAUGGUGAAUGGUCUCUCUAAUCCUCUUUACGAAUAAAUGAAUUUUAGUUUUAGUUUCCCUCAAAUUAGUGCUCAACUGUUCACAGGUGACAACCUAUAUCAUAAUUUACCCAAAUUGUUAAAAGUGUGAUUUAGUGAAAAAUGGAUCCAAAUUCGAGUGUUACUACCGAAGAACCUGCUUCCUGGGAUGAGCUGUACAACAUAGACUUGGUGCCCUCCGAAUUGUUUCUUAAAUUUCGCAAAGAAGUUGAAGGUUUUAGACUUGGAGUUAAUUUAGAGUUCUAUAAUUCACCGAUCAAUGAAUUCCAGACAAAGCUGGUACUAAAGCCUUUGUCAACGGAGAGAAGAUGGAAAUUUAUAUAUGAGCCCAUUCAUCAGGAUGUGCGUGUGCUUUCUAAGAAGAUUCCUUUAACUAAAUUUCUCAAUCUGCAGGUUGGCAUAGGUCAUAGCUUUUCGUUAGGUGCCACCGGAUGGAAAUGGAAGCUUACCUCAUGUUUGGGGGGAGAUGGCAUCUCUCGAAUUCGGAACAAGACAUCAGUUGGACUUUGUGAUGGUGUGGAUUUACGGUUUGGCUGGAGGGCUGAUUAUAUUCUUCCCGAAAUUACAGGGGCCUUAGGCACAGGUGAACCAUUAUUCAAUAUGAAUUCAGGCCGUCUGCAAGCCUCUUUAGACAGAGUUGAAGCUAUUUUCACACACAAAAACGACGAAUAACACUUCCACCAGCGAAACGAAUGGCAGCUUGAUGAUCCAUAUUAUGGUUGUACAGCUCGGUUUUCCUUCUUCACGUUGUAUUUGAUUUUCGUGUUGUUUGGAAAACAAUUAAUUAAAAACUUCCAAAAAUAUGCUGGAUCUUAUCAUUUACAGUUUGUUUCAGUUCAACUCCGUCACAGUUUUGGCGUAACAUUUAAAAUGAUCUAGUAUAUCAUAGAUCCCAUGUCGCAUUUGCUUUAGCCUUUCUGGAGGAUUCGAUAGUCCACCGGCCUCCAUUUUCUGCAAAGUUCAAGACGUUUCUCAGUGGAGUGUUCCGUUAGGGAGUAUGAAGAAUUAGAAGUCGAAAGGGAAAAAACGACAAGGAAGCAGAGUACGAGUGAGGAGGAAACUAUGGUUAAGGUGGCUAACAUUUCUCAAGUUUAGAAUUUAGUUUAAGACUAAUUCAUAC